rnacentral:rRNA from 1 species
AUACGGAGGGUGCAAGCGUUAAUCGGAAUUACUGGGCGUAAAGCGUACGUAGGCGGUUAUUUAAGUCAGAUGUGAAAGCCCCGGGCUUAACUUGGGAACUGCAUUUGAAACUGGGUAACUAGAGUUUAGUAGAGGGGAGUGGAAUUUCAGGUGUAGCGGUGAAAUGCGUAGAGAUCUGAAGGAACACCAGUGGCGAAGGCGACUCCCUGGACUAAAACUGACGCUGAGGUACGAAAGCGUGGGGAGCAAACAGGAUUAGAAACCCCAGUAGUCC